UGUUGGAUCCUUGCUUGUGCAGCGACAACGUCUCAUGUAUGCCUUUUCAGUUGUUGGCUCAAGUUUUACUUGGCUAUUGUGGGUUUCCUGUGCUAGAUACCUAUCGUGAAGGCAUUCAAAUGUUUUACACAUAAUCCAUCUUGUGUUGCUCCUAGUGGGUGCGGUGUUGGUGGACCUCAAAUCAUACAUUGUGUUUCACCUCCUUUGCAUGCAUGUUCAUGCUUUGGUU
rnacentral:misc_RNA from 1 species